AGCCUUCUGUAUCUGUGCUGAAAUCUCGUCACACACCAGACCACAAGGGCUGAUGAGACUUCCAAGAUACGUGAAGCG
rnacentral:pre_miRNA from 1 species